CAGCUAAAACAUGUUCUGUCACUGUUGCGCGCCAGUUACGACCGGACGACGACCGUAAACCUCUUAAGUUAUUCUGGUCUUUAUUAUUGCCUGCCCUCUAUCAAUGGAUCCUCAACCUGAACCAGUCAUCUAGAUCUGUGGAGCCAAGAGAACACGCUGAAGCCAGAUGAUGUAAUUCAGCUCCGCAAGUGCGGUUAUCGUAUCCUCUACAAGAAAUGUAUCUGAAGAAGAGAAUGAUGUUUGUAACAAAUUUAGUUGUAUGGGAGGAUGAUGUUCAUAACUUGUGAUGGACAUCUAGAACUGUCAAUAGGAAGUGAAAGUUGCAGAGAGUUCUCGUUGCACAGAGAAAAUGGGUCUUAAUGGAUAUUUAUAUCUUGGUAUGUAGAGAAAUAGAGAUGACGGGGCUAAUUCUUUUAGUUUUAUCUUGGUGAAGAUGCUUGAAGGGCGUGUUAAAUACUGAAGCCAGUUGCUCUGUAGAAUAACAUGUUAUUUUCUUAAAUCCCUUCUUCAUUUGUUAACUUGUACGUAUUUAAGUUAUUGGGAGCUAAAUGUUGUAUUUGCCU